UUUAGUGAGAACUGUUGGUGAUAGGUGGACGGUUGGACUGGGUGAUCUUGGAGGUAGAGAGGAACUGCAAAGCACCAUGAUAAAGGCAGCUGAGCAGAAAGCUGGGGUACAAUUCCAGCCUCUGCAAAAUCAGAUCGAACUCCAACCCUUGUCAGCCUCUUGCAUUAACCCCACUUUGUGUAAAUAGUUGACAGUGAUCAAAUGCAAAUAAUCACAUGGGCCUAAUUUGCGUCAUGAUAGAUGUGGUGUAAAUGAAAGCCUAAAGUAAGCACGAAGAAAUCCAUGUCCUAACGAGCACAAUACGCAAAUUACUGUUAGGACUCUUAAUCAAAUAAAAUAUUUGCUACACUUUAUUUUUGACAAUGUGCAUUUCAUUCUCUAUUAAAUUAGUGCUUGAUAAAGUAAUAAAAUUAUUACGGCCAUAAAGUUACUGCGCUAUACCUUCAAGGGAAGGCAUUCGAGAGAUCCUUCGCUGUCCUCGGAUUAUUGACUUUGGCAUUAUGAAAAACGCAGAUUGGUGCCUUACACUAAUUCUUUCCCACAGCGUUUGUAACUCAGGCCUAUGCUUAUUCAUGCAAUGUGUUGGCAGUAAAUUAAAAAAAAAACACACAUACCCAACACCGGGCCCAUGCUUGAAAACUAACAGACUGUUUUUUGUUUUCUUUUAACCAUUUAUUGUAGCAACGCCACAGACAACUGUAGUUUUCUGUUGCAUGAAUAAUGUAUUGUAGCAGCUAGGCAUGCCCUCAGUAAUACACUCCUGCCAGCAAGAAGUAGAGUGCUGAGUGCUACUGCUGAAUAAUGAUUAAUUACUCGCCCUUCUGAAGGAGCCUGGUUUUGUAAACUGGUCACACAGCAUGUUACGUGGAUUGUGUCUGCUACACAAAAGGUUACUUGCAAUCACAUAAUGAGACAUAAUGAUGCACAUCACAACAAUUCUUUGGUACAAAUCUGCACACAAUGGAAUUUAGAUAGAAACUCAUUUAUUUAUGUAUCGAGUUUGCCAGAGGGUACAAAACGUCACUGCAUUGCUGCAGUGCUGCCACUGUUCCUUCUGCAAUGCUGACAUUUUGAAUGAAUGGCUGUGCAGCAUUGCCCAUUGCAGACUGCUGGAAGGCUCCAGGAGGGACUCGGCUCCCACUGUGUGAUGGCUGUGUGAGUGGCAUACUUUGCUGAAGUGCGUCCAGAUCCUUUUUUGGGAAGCUGGGAGGCGUCUCCUUGCUGUGAGAGAGAAACAUGGUGCAAUCUUUUCAUCGCUCGGUUUUAGUGACACAGGUUCAAGCAGAACCAAGGAAACCAUUCCUCCUGUCCAAGAGACAGUCUCGCGGAUCCUCAGUUCCCUUCACAGCACUUGUUCAACCUUUAACCUUUUAAGGACCAUAUCUGGCAACUGAACAGGGAUUACCUGAGCAGAGGAGCUAGUAACUACUAUAACUGGCAGAGUGAUGGCAAAAAUCCUGGUGCAGGGAACAAAUGGACGCUGCUGAAAAGAGAAAGAAAAAAAGAUGGAGAAGAAGAAAAGAAAUGAUGCUGGGAGCUGGCAAAAGCUUUUCACUCUGAGUUCUGGAGCAGGAGAAACGCUUGCUGGGAAAAAAAGACUGCAACUGGAGGUACGCUGCAGCUCUCCUUUUUUGCUGCUGGAAAGAAGUUAAUAAAUGCAGUCACAAUACAAGCCCCCUUUUGGAGCAUACGACUCUUUGCAAGAAGGAGAGCAGAGAGUACGUGGCUACUCCUCUGCAGCUGUGUUUCCAAGUCAGCUGGUGCUUAUUUUCUAAUUGGGAACCACAACAGCAUAUGGGCUCACCUUUGAUUGAUAAACUCCUUCAUCCUUUGAAUUCUGGAACAGAGAGGGUUCUACUUAUUUUAAAUCCUAAUGAUUUCUGCUGCACCAAGCUCUUUCAUUUUUAUACAGGAAACCCAGAUUAAUUGUUUCAACCAUCUGACUAUCCAUUACAAUCAGAGGAUGCACUUCUUGUUAAAGUUUCAGAAUUGUUGAAUAAAAUACCAUUU
ensembl:lncRNA